rnacentral:rRNA from 1 species
UACAGAGGUCUCAAGCGUUGUUCGGAUUCAUUGGGCGUAAAGGGUGCGCAGGUGGCGCGGCAAGUCGGAUGUGAAAUCCCGGGGCUCAACCCCGGAACUGCAUUCGAUACUGCCGUGCUAGAGUGCUGGAGAGGAGAUUGGAAUUUACGGUGUAGCAGUGAAAUGCGUAGAUAUCGUAAGGAAGACCAGUGGCGAAGGCGGAUCUCUGGACAGUUACUGACACUGAGGCACGAAGUCCAGGGGAGCAAACGGG